UACGUAGGGUGCAAGCGUUGUCCGGAAUUAUUGGGCGUAAAGAGCUUGUAGGCGGUUUGUCGCGUCUGCUGGGAAAUUUCGGGGCUCAACCCCGAACUUGCAGUGGGUACGGGCAGACUAGAGUGUGGUAGGGGAGACUGGAAUUCCUGGUGUAGCGGUGAAAUGCGCAGAUAUCAGGAGGAACACCGAUGGCGAAGGCAGGUCUCUGGGCCAUAACUGACGCUGAGAAGCGAAAGCAUGGGGAGCGAACAGG
rnacentral:rRNA from 1 species